rnacentral:rRNA from 1 species
GAUGAACGCUGGCGGCGUGCCUAAUACAUGCAAGUCGAGCGAACAGACGAGGAGCUUGCUCCUCUGACGUUAGCGGCGGACGGGUGAGUAACACGUGGAUAACCUACCUAUAAGACUGGGAUAACUUCGGGAAACCGGAGCUAAUACCGGAUAAUAUAUUGAACCGCAUGGUUCAGUAGUGAAAGACGGUUUUGCUGUCACUUAUAGAUGGAUCCGCGCCGCAUUAGCUAGUUGGUAAGGUAACGGCUUACCAAGGCGACGAUGCGUAGCCGACCUGAGAGGGUGAUCGGCCACACUGGAACUGAGACACGGUCCAGACUCCUACGGGAGGCAGCAGUAGGGAAUCUUCCGCAAUGGGCGAAAGCCUGACGGAGCAACGCCGCGUGAGUGAUGAAGGUCUUCGGAUCGUAAAACUCUGUUAUUAGGGAAGAACAAACGUGUAAGUAACUAUGCACGUCUUGACGGUACCUAAUCAGAAAGCCACGGCUAACUACGUG